rnacentral:rRNA from 1 species
ACGAACGCUGGCGGCGUGCUUAACACAUGCAAGUCGAACGGAAAGGCCCUGCUUUUGUGGGGUGCUCGAGUGGCGAACGGGUGAGUAACACGUGAGUAACCUGCCCUUGACUUUGGGAUAACUUCAGGAAACUGGGGCUAAUACCGGAUAGGAGCUCCUGCUGCAUGGUGGGGGUUGGAAAGUUUCGGCGGUUGGGGAUGGACUCUCGGCUUAUCAGCUUGUUGGUGGGGUAGUGGCUUACCAAGGCUUUGACGGGUAGCCGGCCUGAGAGGGUGACCGGCAACAUUGGGACUGAGAUACGGCCCAGACUCCUAAGGGAGGCAGCAGUGGGGAAUAUUGCACAAUGGGCGGAAGCCUGAUGCAGCAACGCCGCGUGCGGGAUGACGGCCUUCGGGUUGUAAACCGCUUUCGCCUGUGACGAAGCGUGAGUGACGGUAAUGGGUAAAGAAGCACCGGCUAACUACGUG